rnacentral:rRNA from 1 species
AGAGUUUGAUCAUGGCUCAGAUUGAACGCUGGCGGCAGGCCUAACACAUGCAAGUCGAGCGGCAGCACAGGGGAACUUGUUCCCUGGGUGGCGAGCGGCGGACGGGUGAGUAAUGGCUGGGAACCUGCCCUGAUGUGGGGGAUAACAGUUGGAAACGACUGCUAAUACCGCAUGAUGUCUACGGACCAAAGAGGAGGACCUUCGGGCUUCUCGCGUCAGGAUGGGCCCAGUUGGGAUUAGCUAGUUAGUAGGGUAAUGGCCUACCAAGGCGACGAUCCCUAGCUGGUUUGAGAGGAUGAUCAGCCACACUGGAACUGAGACACGGUCCAGACUCCUACGGGAGGCAGCAGUGGGGAAUAUUGCACAAUGGGCGCAAGCCUGAUGCAGCCAUGCCGCGUGUGUGAAGAAGGCCUUCGGGUUGUAAAGCACUUUCAGCAGUGAGGAAGGUGGUGUAGUUAAUACCUGCAUCAUUUGACGUUAGCUGCAGAAGAAGCACCGGCUAACUCCGUGCCAGCAGCCGCGGUAAUACGGAGGGUGCGAGCGUUAAUCGGAAUUACUGGGCGUAAAGCGCAUGCAGGCGGUCUGUUAAGCAAGAUGUGAAAGCCCCGGGCUUAACCUGNGAACCGCAUUUUGAGCUGGCAGGCUAGAGUCUUGUAGAGGGGGGGUGGAAUUUCAGGUGUAGCGGUGAAAUGCGU